CUUUUUUUGAUGUUUCUAUGUUUAGGUUUAAGGUUUAAACUAGAUGAUGCAUCUUAUUACUUCCAAAUGAUUCAAAUAAUGAGAUGAAGAAUAUAAAACAUCUUCAAAUUAAGAUACAAUCAAUUACAUACAUUUAAAGCAUUCUCGGAUAUCUAAAAUCGGAUCGAGUGGCGAUGCUUCUCGUCGAUAUCUAGAUCAUCAACAUAAUAAGGAGGCAAAUCAAUCCAUCCCUCUAACCAAGCGGCGUUGUAGUUUUGUAUGCUCAAUCUCCGAGGAAUGCGCGUCGGGUCAUAAGAAUUCUUGGAUCUCUCGCUGAAGCUCUGGCUCUGAGAGAUGUUUGUCUUGAUAAUAUGUUUGUGGAGGGGCCCAUCCGAAUAUUGCGCCACCAAAAAUCAACCCGUAAGACCCUCCGGGCUGCGCAGGGUAGUAGCUACCGGAAGAUGAUUCCGAUGCACCAUAUCCAUAGGCUAGUUGAGGCCGUGGAUAAUAAGAAGACUCGGAAUUUAAUACAUCAAUGGAUCCUACUCCACAUGAGAGGUCAUCUACAGCUGUAUCCUGACCUCCUAAACGACCCCGAGGAGCCCGUCUUCGAUAUGCAAUGGUGUCCGACCGGGGUCUAUCAGACGAUCUACCAUGGUCCGUAUCUUAUGUCGCAUGUGUAAAC
rnacentral:lncRNA from 1 species